UACGGAGGGUGCGAGCGUUGUCCGGAAUCACUGGGCGUAAAGGGCGCGUAGGCGGCCGCGUAAGUCACUUGUGAAAUCCCGGGGCUCAACUCCGGGGCUGCAGGUGAGACUGCGUGGCUAGAGCACGGUAGAGGCGAGUGGAAUUCCCGGUGUAGCGGUGGAAUGCGCAGAUAUCGGGAGGAACACCGGUGGCGAAGGCGGUUCUCUGGGCCUGUGCUGACGCUGAGGAGCGAAAGCGUGGGGAGCGAACAGG
rnacentral:rRNA from 1 species